rnacentral:rRNA from 1 species
AGUGAACGCUGGCGGUAGGCCUAACACAUGCAAGUCGAACGGCAGCACAGUAAGAGCUUGCUCUUACGGGUGGCGAGUGGCGGACGGGUGAGGAAUACAUCGGAAUCUACUUUUUCGUGGGGGAUAACGUAGGGAAACUUACGCUAAUACCGCAUACGACCUACGGGUGAAAGCAGUGGAUCUUCGGACCUUGCGCGAUUGAAUGAGCCGAUGUCGGAUUAGCUAGUCGGCGGGGUAAAGGCCCACCAAGGCGACGAUCCGUAGCUGGUCUGAGAGGGUGAUCGGCCACACUGGAACUGAGACACGGUCCAGACUCCUGCGGGAGGCAGCAGUAGGGAAUAUUGGACAAUGGGCGCAAGCCUGAUCCAGCCAUACCGCGUGGGUGAAGAAGGCCUUCGGGUUGUAAAGCCCUUUUGUUGGGAAAGAAAAGCAGCAGGUUAAUACCCCGCUGUUCUGACGGUACCCAAAGAAUAAGCACCGGCUAACUUCGUG